GCACUGCUGAGGAGUCCCACAAUAGGACGAAACGGCAGUCCAGUGC
rfam:Schistosoma margrebowiei strain Zambia genome assembly, scaffold: SMRZ_scaffold0001654